rnacentral:tRNA from 1 species
GCCCCUAUAGCUCAGUUGGUUAGAGCAGCGGACUUUUAAUCCGCGGGUCGUGGGUUCGAGUCCCACUGGGGGCA